UUUGUUUUUUGUUUGUGUAAAAAAAAAUGAAAAA
rnacentral:sRNA from 1 species